AUUCUUUCGCAGUGGCAGUAUCGUAGCCAAUGAGGUUUGUCCGAGGCAUGAUUAUUGCUAGUUGAAAACUUUACCCAAUACCCCGCCUUGACGACUUGAAAUACAGUUGGUCAUGGCAAUUUUUGAUGGUCUUUAAGGAGA
rnacentral:snRNA from 1 species